GGCUUCGUGCAGUGGCAAUAUCAUAGCCAAUGAGGUUUAUCCAAGGCGCGAUUAUUGCUAAUUGAAAACUUCGCAGUAGCCCACCGUGACGACUUGCAAUAUAGUUGGCACUGGCAAUUUUUGACAGUCCACGGA